rnacentral:rRNA from 1 species
GGGGGGGGGGGGGGGGGGGGGGGGGGGGGGGGGGGCGGGCGGGGGGGGGGGGCGUGCGCCUGGGUGGAGCGGCGGGCGGGGGAGUAAUGCCUAGGAAUCUGCCUGGGAGUGGGGGAUAACGUCCGGAAACGGGCGCUAAUACCGCAUACGUCCUGAGGGAGAAAGUGGGGGAUCUUCGGACCUCACGCUAUCAGAUGAGCCUAGGUCGGAUUAGCUAGUUGGUGGGGUAAAGGCCUACCAAGGCGACGAUCCGUAACUGGUCUGAGAGGAUGAUCAGUCACACUGGAACUGAGACACGGUCCAGACUCCUACGGGAGGCAGCAGUGGGGAAUAUUGGACAAUGGGCGAAAGCCUGAUCCAGCCAUGCCGCGUGUGUGAAGAAGGUCUUCGGAUUGUAAAGCACUUUAAGUUGGGAGGAAGGGCAGUAAGUUAAUACCUUGCUGUUUUGACGUUACCAACAGAAUAAGCACCGGCUAACUUCGUG